CACUUGGAUAUGGAGUUGGAUUAUUAACUUUUUGGACAUAACCAUCCAGCAAUUCCUUAUCCAUCUAACAGUCAUCCAUCAAACCUGUAUCUCUCCAGUUUAGUGGCAAGAAUGUUGUGGAGGACCAUAUCAAGGGCCUUACAGAAGUCCAGGUAGAUGACAUCCCGUAGUUCCUCCUGUGUCCACUGAUGCAGACAUUCCAUUGCAGAAGGCCACCGGAUUAGUCAGGUCUCAGGUGCUUCAAUUUUAUUACCGUACAUAAAAUGUUCUUUUCUGCCACAUUUCUACUUUGCCUCCUGCCUACAACCUCAAGAAAAGGUUGGAGCUUGAAGUGCAGAGUGAGGCUUUAUGGCCUUGAUUUUGGAAGAGCUCAGAUUAGACAGUUUUCAAUUAUUUCUUCUAGAACUGAACAGACACUGGACAGCGUUUCCAAUAGCGAUUGGUCCUGUUCAGUCAGGGAAGAAUUGGAAAUGCAGAGAUGGAUGGAGUUCCCUGCUGGGUUUGAGUGUUCACAGGGUAGCUGUGGCCAGACUGUACUGAAGACAGUUACCAAGAUAAAUUGCCCCAUAGUUCUGCACCUGGGCACUGUCUGUGAGAGUGCUAGUUGUUGUGGGCCAGUGUGAAGGACAACUAUGCUAACAAAUAAUUUGAAUGAUACUAGGGAAAACUCUUAAAAUCUAGUUUGGAAGAGUCUUUGAAGAAUCUAGAGAUUGUUAAAAGCAGAUGUCACAGCUG